rnacentral:rRNA from 1 species
GACGAACCGUGCGAACGUUAUUCGGAAUCACUGGGCUUAAAGCGCGUGUAGGCGGACGGGGACGUCGGUCGCUGAAAUCCCCCGGCUCAACCGGGGAACGGGCGCCGAAACGCCCCGUCUCGAGGGACGUAGGGGGACCUGGAACUUCCGGUGGAGCGGUGAAAUGCGUUGAGAUCGGAAAGAACACCAACGGCGAAAGCACUCUGCUGGGCCGACACUGACACUGAGAGACGAAAGCUAGGGGAGCGAAUGGG